rnacentral:rRNA from 1 species
CCUACGGGUGGCAGCAGUGGGGAAUAUUGGACAAUGGGCGCAAGCCUGAUCCAGCAAUGCCGCGUGUGUGAAGAAGGCCUGCGGGUUGUAAAGCACUUUAAGCAGGAAAGAAGGGCGGAGCGAUAAUACCGUUUCGCAUUGACGUUACCUGCAGAAUAAGCACCGGCUAACUCCGUGCCAGCAGCCGCGGUAAUACGGAAGGUGCGAGCGUUAAUCGCGAUUAGUGGGCGUAAUGAGUCCGUAGUGAGAGCCCUGGGCUUAACCUGGGAACUGCGGUGGAUACUGUCGGGCUAGAGUGUGGUAGAGGGGAGUGGAAUUUCCGGUGUAGCAGUGAAAUGCGUAGAGAUCGGAAGGAGCACCAGUGGCGAAGGCGGCUCCCUGGACCAACACUGACGCUGAGGUGCGAAAGCGUGGGGAGCAAACAGGAUUAGAUACCCUAGUAGUC